CUGAAAAAAUCAGAUAUUUAAUGUUCUCUGUGAGUAAAGCAUAAGGGAGAUGGAGAGAAUACAGCUGUGGCUCCUAAGAUGUGUGUCUUUUAGUUGGGAAAUUAACACAUAUAAAAAUUUAUAACAAUACCAAGGACUCUGACAUGUUCAGAAUGGUUGUGUAAGUCCUCUAAGAUCAUGAGCAGUGAGCAAAAUGCAUGAGAGUAGUAGUCACAGACAGUGCUCAGAUAGCCUUUGGCCUACGCCAUUUUAAAUAAUGUUUCAUUCAAUGGCAGUGAAAAAAAGUACUCCAGGCAUGGAGCUUACAUUUGGAGGGAGCAAACAAAUGAUGAAACACGUGCAUUUAUACACAGCUACCGAAUACAGUGAGAGAUUGAUGAAUGAUGAAGAAGAAGGCCAACAGGAAUGCGGUUACUUUAGGUAAGUAUGGUCUGCCAAGGAAGGCUUUUAAAGGUGAGUGGGAGCAGGCUGUGGAAAUUCUACAGGCAUAUAGUUAACCUUGAUUGCCAACAUCUGAACACCAGGAGAUUCUAAUGCAAAUCAACCACUGGGUUUUCUAGGAAGAUGGGAAGAACUGGCUUAUGUUAGAUCCAAAUUUCCAUGUCCAAUUGGAGCAGAGUCAUUACUGUGUCAGAGAGUCCCUGGCCCUCUCUAGCUCACCACCGUCUCCACCUCUGCUUUGCCUAACAUCCAUCUUACUCCUAAUUUGCCACUACAUUCCAUGUUUCUGUAGGUCUUUGGGCUGUGACCUCUGCUUUGGAAGAAAAUACAUUAAACUUUCCUCCAACAGCUAUCAGGCCAAUCUCCUAUGUAAACUUAGAUAUAUACUUCUAAUCUACUUUAAAAAAAUAAUCAUAGAGACUCAACAUAGUAGGUUAGUCAUAUGUGUUGGUCUCUUUUUCUCAAAGCCACACCAAAAUAAGAGUAAAAGGAAUAAAAUGUAAACCCACAGGGUCAGCCCACAAGAGAAGGUAGAGGAGGCAUCAGUGGAUGAAAAGGUACAAUAAUCUGAAAGGUGGAAACUGGUUGGAAUGUUGAUAGCCAAAAUCAGUGCAAAGAAAAUACAGCCAAAAUUCAUCCUGUAGAACAACUUCAAAGACUUAAGGCUUGCAGACAGCAGGUAGGGAGGAAGUGAGGUACAAGACAGGAUUGAAAGUGAGGAAUUGGUUAGAAGUUGGAGCCUCAGGAAACUUCCCCACCCUGAGCAGUCAGAUGCCAACCCCUAGUCAAGGCAGGAGAAUGGAAAUUUUCCAUUAUUCUCUGGAAAAAUGGAACCAUGGAAAUUAAGGCCAUGGAAACAGUGGGCAUGGUGGUGGGCCAGGGUGAGAUGCAGGGCUGGAAAUUGAUUAGGUACAAAUUGCUUAUUCUGCCAUGGUCUUCUGCUCCCCUUUCCCUUAGAACACCAGGACCAGAGCGGGUGGGAAGGGAGUGGAAAGUUUAUCUGGUAUGUUUGGCCAUUUGGAAAAGAAUAUUGAUGGGUAUCUGACAGGUCCGAGAAUGUGUUAAAAAAAAAAAAAGAUACUUAGAAAAUUAAGCAAAUAGAAAAACAAGGCAGUUGUUAAUUCUAGGAAAGACAAAACAAGAAAGCAAAUGUAAUUCUAAUUCACUAGCUGGCUCUGCAGUUAACAAUGUACAGUUCUAUUAAAAAUAUUGAUUAUUGAGUUAACCUAAAAUCAUAAUAGAACUUUUGGGAUGAUGGAGACAGAUACGUAUAUGUGGUAAGGAAAGGGCAGAGAGAUGAAAGAGCUACACUUCAUUUCAUCCAAAGUGGGAAUAAAUAUAUAAAGCAUCAAGAAGAAGCCACCAAAGUAAAGGCGUGACAGAAAAACAUCCACAUGCCGAAGUAUUUGAAGACAAAUUUUCUUAGGAAAAAAGAGGAGGACUGAGUAUGUGAUUGAAUAGAGGUGGAAGUGUUAAAAACAUGGACUAGGCGAUAUUUAAAGGGAAUGGAGGAUGUGGAGAUGCAGCAGGCACACAGGCUGCAUAUGGGGUUUUGGAAGUGGAAGAAGGUUAAGUGUAUUUGCUGUGAGGGAUGGCAGGACUGCACUUAUUCUGAAUGAAUUCAGGAACGGGCAGUAAGCAGAAAGGACCUAAAUGUAUUGUCAUGAAGCCUGCUAUCCAGAGGAGCAUUUCCCCUGCCCCUUUACCCAGUCACUUUUGGGUAUACAUACAGCACCAACUUUCCCACUGCAGCAAAUUCACAACAGCAGUUGAGAUUUUAUAAAAUUAGAAAUGAUGGUAGUGGCCACAAGCAAAUGGACUAGCAGCUACAAGAAAUGUCAGCUGAUGUCAGUUCUGACAAGAAGAACCCCCGCCAAACCAUAAAGUAGACAUCGGAA
rnacentral:lncRNA from 1 species